UACGAGGGGUGCAAGCGUUGCUCGGAAUUAUUGGGCGUAAAGGGUAGGUAGGUGGUCUCGUUUGUCUGGGGUGAAAGCCUUGAGCUUAACUCAAGAAGUGCCCUAGAAACGGCGAGACUAGAGUUCUGGGGAGGGUCGUGGAAUUCCCGGUGUAGCGGUGAAAUGCGUAGAGAUCGGGAGGAACACCAGAGGCGAAGGCGGCAUCCUGGACCGAUACUGACGCUGAGGAGCGAAAGCCAGGGGAGCAAACGGG
rnacentral:rRNA from 1 species